CAGCACCUCAAGUGGUCAGGAUGAUUAUUGGGCCUAAAGCAUCCGUAGCCGGCUCUGUAAGUUUUCGGUUAAAUCUGUAUGCUCAACAUACAGGCUGCCGGGAAUACUGCAGCGCUAGGGAGUGGGAGAGGUAGACGGUACUCGGUAGGAAGGGGUAAAAUCCUUUGAUCUAUUGAUGACCACCUGUGGCGAAGGCGGUCUACCAGAACACGUCCGACGGUGAGGGAUGAAAGCUGGGGGAGCAAACCGGAUUAGAUACCCGAGUAGUCC
rnacentral:rRNA from 1 species